AUUGAACGCUGGCGGCAGGCCUAACACAUGCAAGUCGAACGAGUGGCGGACGGGUGAGUAAUGUCUGGGAAACUGCUUGAUGGAGGGGGAUAACUACUGGAAACGGUAGCUAAUACCGCAUACCAUCGGAUGUGCCCAGAUGGGAUUAGCUAGUAGGUGUGGUAAAGGCUCACAUAGGCGACGAUCCCUAGCUGGCCUGAGAGGAUGAUCAGUCACACUGGAACUGAGCUACGGUCCAGACUCCUACGUGAGGCAGCAGUGGGGAGUAUUGGACAAUGGGCGAAAGCCUGAUCCAGCCAUGCCGCGUGUGUGAAGAAGGUCUUCGGAUUGUAAAGCACUUUAAGUUGGGAGGCGUUACCAACAGAAUAAGCACCGGCUAACUUCGUGCCAGCAGCCGCGGUAAUAC
rnacentral:rRNA from 1 species